rnacentral:rRNA from 1 species
GAUGAACGCUGGCGGCGUGCCUAAUACAUGCAAGUCGAGCGAACGGACGAGAAGCUUGCUUCUCUGAUGUUAGCGGCGGACGGGUGAGUAACACGUGGAUAACCUACCUAUAAGACUGGGAUAACUUCGGGAAACCGUAGCUAAUACCGGAUAAUAUUUUGAACCGCAUGGUUCAAAAGUGAAAGGCGGUCUUGCUGUCACUUAUAGAUGGAUCCGCGCUGCAUUAGCUAGUUGGUAAGGUAACGGCUUACCAAGGCAACGAUGCAUAGCCGACCUGAGAGGGUGAUCGGCCACACUGGAACUGAGACACGGUCCAGACUCCUACGGGAGGCAGCAGUAGGGAAUCUUCCGCAAUGGGCGAAAGCCUGACGGAGCAACGCCGCGUGAGUGAAGAAGGUCUUCGGAUCGUAAAACUCUGUUAUUAGGGAAGAACAUAUGUGUAAGUAACUGUGCACAUCUUGACGGUACCUAAUCAGAAAGCCACGGCUAACUACGUG